UCCUUUUCUUUUCCUUUCCCUUCCACUUCUUCUUCAUGAAAAAAAAUAAACCAAUAAAUCAAAUUAAUACAAUAUUUCUCAUAAAUAUUCACAUAAAAUGAUAAGCAAUAUCCCUACAACAAAAACCCCUAACAUACCUUUAAAUUUCCAAACCCUUGGUUACUAUUCACUCUCUUUCAAUCUUGAAUUUUCUCUUGAUUUCUCUUCUUUUCUUCAAAUUUUACUUUGAAAAGGUGUUGGGAUAAGAUGGGUAAUUGAUUGGAGGUGGAAUUUUGAAGAAAUUUUGGUGUGGAAAAAGAAGAUAGAGAAAUAGGUAUUUCCUCUUAGUUGAUGGGAAGGAGAA
rnacentral:lncRNA from 1 species